rnacentral:rRNA from 1 species
AGCGAACGCUGGCGGCAGGCCUAACACAUGCAAGUCGAGCGGAUGAGUGGAGCUUGCUCCUUGAUUCAGCGGCGGACGGGUGAGUAAUGCCUAGGAAUCUGCCUGGUAGUGGGGGACAACGUUUCGAAAGGAACGCUAAUACCUCAUACGUCCUACGGGAGAAAGCAGGGGACCUUCGGGCCUUGCGCUAUCAGAUGAGCCUAGGUCGGAUUAGCUAGUAGGUGUGGUAAUGGCUCACCUAGGCGACGAUCCGUAACUGGUCUGAGAGGAUGAUCAGUCACACUGGAACUGAGACACGGUCCAGACUCCUACGGGAGGCAGCAGUGGGGAAUAUUGGACAAUGGGCGAAAGCCUGAUCCAGCCAUGCCGCGUGUGUGAAGAAGGUCUUCGGAUUGUAAAGCACUUUAAGUUGGGAGGAAGGGCAGUAAGCUAAUACCUUGCUGUUUUGACGUUACCGACAGAAUAAGCACCGGCUAACUCUGUGCCAGCAGCCGCCGUAAGAC